AGGUAAAGCAAGAAAGGGCGUAUGGGGAAUGCCUAGGCACACUCCGGCGAAGAAGGACGCAGCAAACAGCGAAAUGCGACGGUGAGCGGUAAGCACGUGAAGAGCCGUCGAUAUCCGAAUGGGGGAACCCACACGGAGUCAUAUCCGUGUAUCACAUGUCGAAUACAUAGACAUGAUGAGGCGAGACGCAGGGAACUGAAACAUCUAAGUACCUGCAGGAAGAGAAAAUAAGAAUGAUUUUCUGAGUAGCGGCGAGCGAAAGGGAAAGAGCCCAAACCGAUCUUAGGAUCGGGGUAGUAGGAUCAUCGAGGAAUCUGACAGAGGAUCAUAGAGGAAUCACAUGGGAAGGUGAGCGAGAGAGGGUGAGAGCCCCGUACUCGAAAUGAGAGACUGGAGAGAGAUGACACCUGAGUAGGGCGGGACACGAGAAAUCCUGUCUGAAUCAGCCGGGACCAUCCGGCAAGGCUAAAUACGAGAGAGUGACCGAUAGUGAACCAGUACCGUGAGGGAAAGGUGAAAAGAACCCCGGGAGGGGAGUGAAAGAGAACCUGAAACCAUAUGCCUACAAGAAGUCAGAGCCCGUUAAAGGGUGAUGGCGUGCCUUUUGUAGAAUGAACCGGCGAGUUACUGUAUGGAGCGAGGUUAAGCAGGAUAUGCGGAGCCGAAGCGAAAGCGAGUCUUAAGAGGGCGCGAGUUGCAUGCAGUAGACCCGAAACCGGGUGAUCUAGCCAUGACCAGGUUGAAGUUGGGGUAAAACCCGAUGGAGGACCGAACCGACCCCCGUUGAAACGUUGGCGGAUGAGUUGUGGCUAGGGGUGAAAUUCCAAUCGAACCCGGAGAUAGCUGGUUCUCCCCGAAAUAGCUUUAGGGCUAGCGUCGAGAGAAGAGUUGCGUGAAGGUAGAGCACUGAAUAUGUGAUGGCCCCAUCUCGGGGUACUGAGCAUAAUCAAACUGCGAAUGUCACGCCAACAUGCUCGGCAGUCAGACAGCGGGUGAUAAGGUCCGUUGUCAAGAGGGAAACAGCCCAGACCAUCAGCUAAGGUCCCAAAAUGUAUGCUAAGUGGAAAAGGAUGUGGAGAUGUACAGACAACUAGGAGGUUGGCUCAGAAGCAGCCAUCCUUUAAAGAGUGCGUAACAGCUCACUAGUCGAAUGACUCUGCGCCGAUAAUUUACCGGGGCUAAGCAUACUACCGAAGCUAUGGAUCCCAAGGGAUGGUAGGGGAGCGUUCCAUGAACGGAGAAGUACGACCGAAAGGACGUGUGGAGAUCAUGGAAGAGAGAAUGCCGGUGUGAGUAGCGGAACGUGGGUGAGAAUCCCACGCACCGAAAACCCAAGGUUUCCAGAGGAAGGUUCGUCCGCUCUGGGUAAGUCGGGACCUAAGGCGAGGCCGAAAGGCGUAGUCGAUGGACAACAGGUAGAGAUUCCUGUACCCGUAUAUAUGUGAAGGAAUGACGGAGAGAGGAAGCUGCAGCCAGCGGCUGGAAGAGCUGGUGCAAGCGAGAUAUCGGGAUGGCAGGCAAAUCCACCAUCCGAAACGAGAAGGCGUGAAGCGUACGGAAAGCUACGGCGAGUACGGAAGGCAGUGGAGGAACUUCCAAGAAAAGUUUCUAACGUUAAGUAUAUAUGGCCCGUACCGAAAAUGGACACACAUGGGUGAGGAGAGAAUCCUAAGGUGAGCGAGAGAACUAUAGCUAAGGAACUCUGCAAAAUGACUCCGUAACUUAGGGAGAAGGAGUGCUCAUAGAGAUAUGAGCCGCAGUGAAACGGCCCAAGCGACUGUUUACCAAAAACACAGCUCUCUGCUAAGCCGCAAGGCGAAGUAUAGGGGGUGACGCCUGCCCGGUGCUGGAAGGUUAAGGGGAGGGGUUAACGCAAGUGAAGCCCUGAACUGAAGCCCCAGUAAACGGCGGCCGUAACUAUAACGGUCCUAAGGUAGCGAAAUUCCUUGUCAGGUAAGUUCUGACCCGCACGAAAGGCGUAACGAUUUGGGCGCUGUCUCAGCUGUAGACUCGGUGAAGUCUUAGUACCUGUGAAGAUGCAGGUUACCCGCGACUAGACGGAAAGACCCCAUGGAGCUUCACUGCAGGUUGAUAUUGGGAUUUGAUGCAGCAUGUACAGGAUAGGUAGGAGGCAAAGAGAUGGAUACGCCAGUAUUCAAGGAGCCGCUGUUGGGAUACUACCCCUGUUGUAUUGGAUUUCUAACCGGACGACGUAGAGCCGUUGACGGGACAGUGUCAGUCGGGCAGUUUGACUGGGGCGGUCGCCUCCC
rnacentral:rRNA from 1 species